rnacentral:rRNA from 1 species
CGGACGGGUGAGUAACGCGUGGAAAACCUGCCGUAUACUGGGGGAUAACACUUAGAAAUAGGUGCUAAUACCGCAUAAGCGCACAGCUUCGCAUGAAGCGGUGUGAAAAACUCUGAUGGUAUACGAUGGUUCCGCGUCUGAUUAGCUAGUUGGUGGGGUAAUGGCCUACCAAGGCAACGAUCAGUAGCCGGCCUGAGAGGGUGAACGGCCACAUUGGGACUGAGACACGGCCCAAACUCCUACGGGAGGCAGCAG